rnacentral:lncRNA from 1 species
GGAAGGCAGCAGUUGAUUUUCUGUCCCUUAUGUUCCAUCUAGGCUACACACCCUUGGGGCAGGUAGCAGUCACACCCAGGGAGGGCCUUCCCAUUAUCCACACCCAGAACCAUGCCAGACUGAUCAGUGGACUCAUUUAGUAAUCACACACCCCUGAUCCCAGCAUCACACACGCUAGAUCCAGCCACCUCUGAAAAGCCCCACCUAUGACCCCAUGAGGCUUUAGGGGACAUCUAGACACAAGUCAUAACACCGUGAGGUCCCUGAAGAUCACACUUAGGAUUCUGUAUUAUGGCCAUGUGUGACAUGACACCUGGGUCCUCCUUUCUGUCGGUACCUGGUGGAUCUGGGCCAGGAGGUUACAGCUUUAUCAAAUCAUCUGGGAGCUUUCUGCUUCCCUGGAGCCCGAGGGCCAGGCAUGGGGCUCUGCCCUGGUCCCAGCCUGGCCCUCACUGGUGGUCUUCCGCACCCAGUGGCUGCCUCUGUGUCUUGAUGGCUUUUGUUUUCCUCCAUGAGCCAGUCUGCCCAGGAGUCGUCGGCCUCCUCAAUUUGCAGCUGCUUUGCAGGGUCUUGCUGGCCUGGAAAGUGAAACCCUUCCUCCUCAGCCUCCUGCGCAGCCCAGCUAUGGAAUUCCAAGACAUAAUUCCAUUUUGUCCUCCGCUCCCAACUGAGACCUCAAUGAUCCGGUGAUGCUGUGAUUCUCCAGGACAGGAAACAUCCUGGGAGCUGCAAACAUCCUGGGAGAACAAACAUCUACUCAGUUCCUCCUUGAUCUUGGACUGUUACACCUUGUUUACCCAGGAUGUACUGAACUCUCUGCGAGUCAUUUGUUACAUUUGUUUCUCCCGAUGUACUGAGUACUGAAUAAAAGGUGCAGUAAGCUGGGGGCUUUCUGCCUUUGCCCCCCAGAGCAGCACUGAUCAGACCCAAAGCUCAGCUUCUUCUCAGUCUCAUUUUUCUACCUUUUCUGUAAUUUGCCUUGUGCUGCUGUGGCUCGCAGGAGACUAGGACUUAACUGCAGAGGUUCUGGUAACGUCCCCUUUCCCUGUUCUCUACAACAGUGCUAUCACAUUAUCCUCUCAAUUGUAGGAUUACAGGUUGUGGCAUUUUAUCUAUAGUUUCAAGUGUUAUACAACGAAUCUGUAUUACUUGUAAAGCAAAACUAUAAGUGUGAAAAAGAAAAUCAUCUCUAGCUUUUUCAAAAGCAGAUUAUUUUGGCAUUUCCCCAGAACGGCUGUGUCUCAGCAUGGCACUGUGGGCCAUGAAGGGAUGCUCAGCAUCUGCACAGGGUCGUUCCUUGACUUCCUCUAAUACGGUGGACUGCGUUGUUUUUCUUUCUUUCUUUUUUUUUUUGGUACCGGGGAUUGGACUGCAUUUUUAAGAAGUUAUUGAGAAUGUAAUUGAGUUUCUUCUAGCUUCUCAUCCCUUCAGGGCUGCUGCCAACCUGGGAAUGUCCUGUCAGCUCGUUUGUGUAUCCUUGUGUCCUUCAGUGAGCCCUCCACUCACCCUAUGUGCAUUCUUCUAGGGACAUGAUAUUUCAACUCAAAAGGCAGCUUUUAAAGGGGAUAUAUUUACUCUGUGCUGCCACUAUGGAAAUCAGUACAGAGGUUCCACAAAAAACUAAAAACAGAGGGAAUGGAGAUUUAGCUCAGUGGUUCCGCCGCCUGCCUUGCAAGCACAAGGUCCUGAGUUCAAUCCCCGGUACCCCCCCCCCAAUAAAUAAAAUAAUCACAACUAUAAUGAAAAACAUUACAUUCUCACAAUUGAAAAAAAACCCCAAUAACAAAAAACUAAAAACAGCUAUUAUAAGCCCCAGGCCCCAGAGAUACCACUCCUUGGUGUACACAGGAAGGCAUUAGGCAGCCUACUAUAGGCAUACUGGGGAGCCAUAUUUAUUGCUGCAAAAUUCACCAUCGUCA